rnacentral:rRNA from 1 species
GCGGCAGGCUUAACACAUGCAAGUCGAGCGAAUCAAUAGGAGCUUGCUCCUGUUGGUUAGCGGCGGACGGGUGAGUAACACGUGGGCAACCUGCCUGUAAGACUGGGAUAACACCGGGAAACCGGUGCUAAUACCGGAUAAUCCUUUUCCUCUCAUGAGGGAAAGCUGAAAGUCGGUUUCGGCUGACACUUACAGAUGGGCCCGCGGCGCAUUAGCUAGUUGGUGAGGUAACGGCUCACCAAGGCGACGAUGCGUAGCCGACCUGGGAGGGUGAUCGGCCACACUGGGACUGAGACACGGCCCAGACUCCUACGGGAGGCAGCAGUAGGGAAUCUUCCACAAUGGACGAAAGUCUGAUGGAGCAACGCCGCGUGAGCGAUGAAGGCCUUCGGGUCGUAAAGCUCUGUUGUUAGGGAAGAACAAGUACCGGAGUAACUGCCGGUGCCUUGACGGUACCUAACCAGAAAGCCACGGCUAACUACGUGCCAGCCGCCGCGGUAAUAC